CAGGACGAACGCUGGCGGCGUGCUCAUACAUGCAAGUCGAACGAGAAAUCUACUUCGGUAGAUGGAAAGUGGCGGACGGGUGAGUAAUAUGUAGAGAAUCUGCCCUAGAGAGGGGGACAACCGUUGGAAACGACAGCUAAUACCCCAUAUGAGCGUACCUGAAAUGGUAUUCUUGAAAAACUCCGGUGCUCUGGGAUGAGUCUGCAUCUGAUUAGCUAGUUGGGGGUGUAAUGGACCACCAAGGCGACGAUCAGUAGCUGGUUUGAGAGGAUGAUCAGCCACAAUGGGACUGAGACACGGCCCAUACUCCUACGGGAGGCAGCAGUAGGGAAUUUUGCGCAAUGGGCGAAAGCCUGACGCAAGCAACGCCGCGUGAUCGAGACGCUUUUCGGAGUGUAAAGAUCUGUCACAGGGGACGAACGAUGACGGUACCCUGAGAGGAAGCACCGGCUAACUCCGUGCCAGCCGCAGC
rnacentral:rRNA from 1 species